AUUGAACGCUGGCGGCAUGCCUUACACAUGCAAGUCGAACGGCAGCACGGGUGCUUGCACCUGGUGGCGAGUGGCGAACGGGUGAGUAGUACAUCGGAACGUACCCUAUCGUGGGGGCUAACGCAGCGAAAGCUGUGCUAAUACCGCAUACGCCCUGAGGGGGAAAGCGGGGGAUCGCAAGACCUCGCGCGAUUAGAGCGGCCGAUGCCUGAUUAGCUUGUUGGUGGGGUAAAAGCCCACCAAGGCGACGAUCAGUAGCUGGUCUGAGAGGACGAUCAGCCACACUGGGACUGAGACACGGCCCAGACUCCUACGGGAGGCAGCAGUGGGUAAUUUUGGACAAUGGGGGCAACCCUGAUCCAGCAAUGCCGCGUGAGUGAAGAAGGCCUUCGGGUUGUAAAGCUCUUUUGUCAGGGAAGAAACACCGGCUCUAACACAGUCCGGGAAUGACGGUACCUGAAGAAUAAGCACCGGCUAACUACGUGCCAGCCGCCGCGGUAA
rnacentral:rRNA from 1 species